AUUUUAUUUUCAUACCUAUUAAUUUUUAAAAAGUUUAUUUCAAAAGCUUGCUGUGCUAUUUUUUUUUUUUAGUUUUAGUUUUAACUUCUUUUUUUUUUUUAAAGUUUAUUUCAAGUAGGAUUAUUUACCAAAAGAAAGGACAAACAUUAAUCUCAAGGCAUUUCCGCAUGUUUGUGGAAAAUUCCAUUUAGAGCUGGUUCCAUCAAUUUCAAAAAGGACAGCAUGGAAGAUUCCUUGAGCCCUUUUCCCCUUCUGUCACUAAAUUGCCAAGCAGAGCUCUAGAAGGUAACGGCAUGUGAAAUUACAAGCAAGGCCGAGCAUAUCAUUCCUAUCUGUGUUUGAACCCAACACUGAAGAGACAAAAUUAGAACCAACCAAAGAUCAGUGACCUUUACCCAAAUUGCUCAACAAGGUAAUAACUCUCCAGAUCAGACCAGGAACUGGACUGGACCGUUGAUCUUAGAGACCUGAUGUGAAGUACACAGGGUGUGCAUUUGGAAGGAAGGCGACAUAUUCAUUGUGCAAAUUAACUGCAAUGAAAGAUAGGCAAGUGACACGCAACAAAUUUCAAUAUAUACAUUUAGAGGUUUAUCCACUAAGAAAUGUGCAGGAUUUAUGUGAAGAGAAUUUUACUGACCAGAAUCAAAGAACUGGAUGGAUAGACAAAAUAAGAUCUUAUUUGGAAAGGAUGAAUGUUUAAAAAAUGUUAUUCUCCCAAACUUAUUUUUUUUUUAUUUUCCCACUGUACAGCAAGGGGAUCAAGUUAUCCUUACAUGUAUACAUUACAAUUACUUUUUUCCCCACCCUUUGUUCUGUUGCAACUUGAGUAUCUAGACAAAGUUCUCAACUUUGGCGAGUUUUAGCAAAAUUUCCCAUUAAAAUUUCAAGGGGGUUUUUGUUUCUGUCAUGGAGUAAGAUCCAACUGAUCCCAGCUCUAGAUUCUGGACAAAAAUCAAACAGAACUAGGGAGUGAACCAAAAGCAGACAAUUCUGGAGGGAUAUAAAAUUUGGAAGAAGAAACCAGCCAGAGGUAAUUUCCUAUUUUUUUUUUUUCACACUUUCUAUCUUGAGGGCAGGACAAAGACAAUUUCAACCCACAGUCUUUCUAGCUUGAGGAGCCAGCAGACAGUCUAGGCAACCAUAGUAGCUACUGGGAAGGAGGAAUCUCAGAAGAGAUUCAAGAGGGUGCACCCCAGGUUCUGUGUUUAAACUGUCCAGGUCCUUGACUGACCCCUGAACCACACAUACAUGCAUGGGGCAGACAACACAGAGCAGCUCAAGAGAGAAGAACUGGACCAAGAUUUGAUCUGUCGCCCAAGAGAAUAUGCAGUUUGAAACCAACCAGAUCUAUUGAUUUGCUGAGACAAAGGGACCAAUAUUCUCUAGAGGAACAUUCCAGAUCCAGAGGUGCUACCACAUCAUACUAAUAUAUGCAAGAUCCAGUUGGAAUUGUGCAACAUAGGAAGGGCCAGAGUAAUCUGACCCAGAUUUGGAGAAAAGACUAACAGCCAAGACCAACUCCACAGUGACCAAGAUGUGGGAAUUAACCAGGGACCUUAAAGCACCUGCUAUAAUAAUGCUCACUGAGGUAAAUGCUAAAUGGAGAGGAUGCCAAAUGGAAAUCCAGAUCUUCAGGAGGCAAUACAGAAACUCUGAAAUGAAAUUUGCUUACACAUGUACAGGCCGAAGCUAAUCAGAUCAAAGGGUAUGCAUUCAUUGGAAAGGAAAGAAGACAUUAAAAAUAAGGCUGCCUUAGUGCUACACCAUAUUCAUAACAUAAAGAUGAAAAAAAAUGGCAAGGGCUAGGAAAAGCGCUAAUAAAAAUGUGGGCCAGCAACAUCAGCAUCACCUUGGAGCAUGGUAAACAUUCCAGGAUUGAGGCCCAGGAAUAUUUGCUUUAACAAGCUCUCCAGGAUUUAAAAUCAUUAUUGAUACUACAUGAACUUGUUCUUGGGGAAGUCAGAUGUCACAGAAGAGGUCCUGCUAUACCGAGACAACACAUUGGGGAGGGAUCCAGAGAGAGAGCCUCAGCUCAGUGCCCAGCCAACAUCCAGCCUCCAGUGCAACCACCCACGACUUGGAGCCACGAGAGUGGAUGAAAUAGUAAGACAGCAGUGGAAGAGGAAAAUACUGCCCGGAACCAAGCUCUGAGGAAGACAGACAAUCAAGGUAGAGGAACAAGAGGAGAAAUCUGAGAAAUGUCCCAGAGAACAGGAGCAAAAGCAGCCUAUCUGAAGUCUCCAGUGAUUACCGUACAGCCAAGAAAGAUUCUCUGUGUAUCAAGGUAUCUCCAGGUAUUUUUUGUCUUGAAAUUUUUCUUUCUCUUAA